rnacentral:antisense_RNA from 1 species
GGAGACUAUAUAACUUACUCAUGGAUCCAUAGCUAGCCAGCUGCAAAGCUGGGAGUCACAACUCAAGAGACUAUCCUACACCGAAGACUGGACAAAUGGUUUCAUGAAAUGUUUCCCAGCUUUGUUAGGCUGAUACCCAGAAACAGCUGCUCUUCACUUCUCCCAACUGAAAACUCCAGUUAUUAUCAUUAAAACACCACCCUGCAGAAGAUCCACCCGCUCUGAGGGUAAAAACCUGCAGAAGAUCCACCCGCUCUGAGGGUAAAAGUUUGGCUGGUAAAAGAUAUGCUGAAUAAAGGAACACCAGGUAUAUCCCCUGAUGCCACAAGCUCAUUGCCAAGGAGCAGAUGACAUUGGCUACAUCACCACAAUAGAUUCUCUGAAAAUUCAGCAAGUGUCACACAGAAGCAUGUGGACAGUGUUGCUGGAGUCACAAAUGGGUCCGCGGUCCUCAAUGGGCUGUUAAUCUUCAUAGCUGAGGGAGACACAUGCCCAAGUAGUAUACACUACUCAUCACAUGCUGAAGGAAUCCAGGGAAAAGGAAGAAAGACCUCCACUGAUAGUACUGUGGAAUAUUGGGUUGGACGGAUUUAAAGUAGAACGUGGGAGACCAGACAGAAGUGUACAGCAAAAGUCCAGGCAAAAACUUGACGAGAGCCUAGAACACAGAAGUGGCAAAAAAGAAAACUUCAAACGUCACAGUACAAAUCCUAUUGUUCACUAUCCUGGGUCCCAUCCCAAGCAACGUGCAUGUAAGAUUUUACCUAAUAC